GAUGAACGCUGGCGGCGUGCCUAAUACAUGCAAGUCGAACGCGCAGCGAAAGGUGCUUGCACCUUUCAAGCGAGUGGCGAACGGGUGAGUAACACGUGGAUAACCUGCCUCAAGGCUGGGGAUAACAUUUGGAAACAGAUGCUAAUACCGAAUAAAACUUAGUAUCGCAUGAUAUAAAGUUAAAAGGCGCUACGGCGUCACCUAGAGAUGGAUCCGCGGUGCAUUAGUUAGUUGGUGGGGUAAAGGCUUACCAAGACAAUGAUGCAUAGCCGAGUUGAGAGACUGAUCGGCCAAAUUGGGACUGAGACACGGCCCAAACGCCUACGGGAGGCUGCAGUAGGGAAUCUUCCACAAUGGGCGCAAGCCUGAUGGAGCAACGCCGCGUGUGUGAUGAAGGCUUUCGGGUCGUAAAGCACUGUUGUAUGGGAAGAAAUGCUAAAAUAGGGAAUGAUUUUAGUUUGACGGUACCAUACCAGAAAGGGACGGCUAAAUACGUGCCAGCCGCCGCAGUAA
rnacentral:rRNA from 1 species